AUUUGAGAACAGCAAGUGUUUUGGAGCCUCCUGCACUAUAAAAGCAGGUAGAAAAUUGAAUUCUGACUGCUGCACGACCACAGUUCUGUAUUCAUACUCACCCCUCACUCCCACCACAUUCCUGGUGACUUGAAAGAUUUUCCAAUUGAUGAAAACAUGUUGCUCUGGAGCUCAGGAGAGAAGGUGAAGUAAAGAUCUGAAUUCGGCAACUCGGAAGCGAAGCUCCAAUCUUGAGGAUGGAUCAGAUUGGUGAGGGAGACUGUCAUAUAGAGUGAGAAGAGAGAUCCAAGGACAGAACUGCAGGAAGCAUCAAUAUUUGAGGAAUGAGAAAGGAAGAAAAGCCUCCCACAAAAGAGAUGAGACAAGAGGAAUGGUUACACAGGUAGGAAGAGAAGCAGAGAUGAAUGGUGUCCUCUUUAUAUUUCAAUCACCUGAACUCAUUACUCAUUAUUGCCUGCGAAUAUCAGGUGCUUCACUGUUUCUCAGCUUUUACUCAUACCUUUCAUCUUUUCAAAAGGAGUUUUAAAAUCCUACUCACUUUUCAGAGUCUUAGUGGAAUACCAGGUCUUUCGUCAGAACUUUCCUGACUGUUAUCACGAUCUUUCUUCCUCACAUUGUCCUAGUAACCCCAGCAUCAUGAAAUUGAAUACAAUUACAUUAUUUAAGACAGUCUUUCAACAACUUUUUGGUCUCAGGAACCCUUGACAUUCUUAAAAAUGAUUGAGGAUUGACCAGUCUGACCAACACGGAGAAACCCCGUCUCUACUAAAAAUAC
rnacentral:lncRNA from 1 species